rnacentral:rRNA from 1 species
AAGCGAGCCCGCAGGGGGAGCGAAUCCCAAAAAUAACGUCCCAGUUCGGAUUGUAGUCUGCAACCCGACUACAUGAAGCCGGAAUCGCUAGUAAUCGCGGAUCAGAAUGCCGCGGUGAAUGCGUUCCCGGGUCUUGUACACACCGCCCGUCACACCAUGGAAGUUGGGGGCGCCCGAAGUUGGUCGGGAAAUAGAUUACCUAAGGCGAAACCAAUGGCUGGGGUGAAGUCGUAACAAGGUAUC